rnacentral:rRNA from 1 species
CCUACGGGGUGCAGCAGUGGGGAAUAUUGGACAAUGGGCGAAAGCCUGAUCCAGCCAUGCCGCGUGUGUGAAGAAGGCCUUCGGGUUGUAAAGCACUUUCAGUGGGGAAGAAAGCCUUGGGGCUAAUACCCUCGAGGAAGGACAUCACCCACAGAAGAAGCACCGGCUAACUCCGUGCCAGCAGCCGCGGUAAUACGGAGGGUGCGAGCGUUAAUCGGAAUUACUGGGCGUAAAGCGCGCGUAGGCGGUCUGAUAAGCCGGUUGUGAAAGCCCCGGGCUCAACCUGGGAACGGCAUCCGGAACUGUCAGGCUAGAGUGCAGGAGAGGAAGGUAGAAUUCCCGGUGUAGCGGUGAAAUGCGUAGAGAUCGGGAGGAAUACCAGUGGCGAAGGCGGCCUUCUGGACUGACACUGACGCUGAGGUGCGAAAGCGUGGGUAGCAAUCAGGAUUAGAUACCCGAGUAGUC